rnacentral:rRNA from 1 species
UACGAAGGGGGCUAGCGUUGUUCGGAAUUACUGGGCGUAAAGGGCGCGUAGGCGGCGUGUCAAGUCAGGCGUGAAAGCCCCGGGCUCAACCUGGGAACCGCGCUUGAGACUGGCAUGCUCGAGUUCGGGAGAGGAUGGUGGAAUUCCCAGUGUAGAGGUGAAAUUCGUAGAUAUUGGGAAGAACACCGGUGGCGAAGGCGGCGCUCUGGACCGAGACUGACGCUGAGGCGCGAAGGCGUGGGGAGCAAACAGG